ACCUGACUGCUAUCGGAUUGGUACUAAGCCAUGUGAGUCAUUGUAGCAAUACAAGGCAUGCGGCUCAGUAACACGUAGUCAAUCUGCCCUAUGGNACGUGGAUAACCUCGGGAAACUGAGAAUAAUCCGCGAUAGAUCAUAAUGCCUGGAACGGUUUAUGGUCCAAAUGAUUCGUCGCCAUAGGAUGGGACUGCGGCCUAUCAGCUUGUUGGUGAGGUAAUGGCCCACCAAGGCUAUUACAGGUACGGGCUCUGAGAGGAGAAGCCCGGAGAUGGGUACUGAGACACGGACCCAGGCCCUAUGGGGCGCAGCAGGCGAGAAACCUUUGCAAUGUGCGCAAGCACGACAAGGUUAAUCCGAGUGUUUCCUGCUAAAGGAAUCUUUUGUUAGUUCUAAAACCACUGAUGAAUAAGGGGUGGGCAAGUUCUGGUGUCAGCCGCCGCGGUAAAACCAGCACCUCAAGUGGUCAGGAGGAUUAUUGGGCCUAAAGCAUCCGUAGCCGGUUCUGUAAGUUUUCGGUUAAAUCCACUAGCUCAACUAAUGGGCUGCCGGAAAUACUGCAGAACUAGGGAGUGGGAGAGGUAGACGGUACUCGGGAGGAAGGGGUAAAAUCCUUUGAUCUCUUGAUGACCACCUGUGGCGAAGGCGGUCUACCAGAACACGUUCGACGGUGAGGGAUGAAAGCUGGGGGAGCAAACCGGAUUAGAUACCCGGGUAGUCCCAGCUGUAAACGAUGCAGACUCGGUGAUGCACUGGCUUUUGGCCAGUGCAGUGCCGCAGGGAAGCCGUUAAGUUUGCCGCCUGGGAAGUACGUACGCAAGUAUGAAACUUAAAGGAAUUGGCGGGGGAGCACCACAAGGGGUGAAGCCCUGCGGUUCAAUUGGAGUCAACCGCCGAAA
rnacentral:rRNA from 1 species